AGUGAACGCUGGCGGUAGGCCUAACACAUGCAAGUCGAACGGCAGCACAGUAAGAGCUUGCUCUUACGGGUGGCGAGUGGCGGACGGGUGAGGAAUACAUCGGAAUCUACUUUUUCGUGGGGGAUAACGUAGGGAAACUUACGCUAAUACCGCAUACGACCUACGGGUGAAAGCAGGGGAUCUUCGGGCCUUGCGCGAUUGAAUGAGCCGAUGUCGGAUUAGCUAGUUGGCGGGGUAAAGGCCCACCAAGGCGACGAUCCGUAGCUGGUCUGAGAGGAUGAUCAGCCACACUGGAACUGAGACACGGUCCAGACUCCUACGGGAGGCAGCAGUGGGGAAUAUUGGACAAUGGGCGCAAGCCUGAUCCAGCCAUACCGCGUGGGUGAAGAAGGCCUUCGGGUUGCAAAGCCCUUUUGUUGGGAAAGAAAAGCAGCAGGUUAAUACCCCGCUGUUCUGACGGUACCCAAAGAAUAAGCACCGGCUAACUUCGUG
rnacentral:rRNA from 1 species